GUCUGAAGCAUUUGCAAUUCCUCCUUUUCUUUCCCAGUCUAGGCUUUCUGUGGCUGUCCAAUCACAGACUUCCCAAUGUAGCUCAAUGUCUUUGCAAGGCAGAUGCUCUGAGCAAUUAAAAGUUUGGCUCUAUUGCGCUAAACAAACCAGGAAGUAAUAGGAUAGGUUGUCUGAUGGACAUCCUGGGAGGUGUAACAAGAUUCAUUUUUAAAAUGUGCGAAUUUCUACUGAAAUAUGCACUUUUUGAAAAAUGGGAAACCGAUCCCUGAAGUGCUUUAGGGGUCUGGAGUGUCUUAUUGUGCAUGGAUUAUGUAUUCUACAAGCAUAGUUCCCUAUGAGUGCCAAGCCUUGUGGAAAACUAUACAAUGUUUUGAUAAGUCUGUAGGCAGCACAUUUCAAAGCUUUACCACGCUUUCGCUAGUCUUUAAAGGGUGCCCUCAUUUACUUUAAUAGGAUAAACAGCAUUUGUC